AACGAACGCUGGCGGCAUGCCUAACACAUGCAAGUCGAACGAGACCUUCGGGUCUAGUGGCGCACGGGUGCGUAACGCGUGGGAACCUGCCCUUAGGUUCGGAAUAACUCCCCGAAAGGGGUGCUAAUACCGGAUAAUGUCUUCGGACCAAAGAUUUAUCGCCUUUGGAUGGGCCCGCGUUGGAUUAGCUAGUUGGUAGGGUAAAAGCCUACCAAGGCGACGAUCCAUAGCUGGUCUGAGAGGAUGAUCAGCCACACUGGGACUGAGACACGGCCCAGACUCCUACGGGAGGCAGCAGUGGGGAAUAUUGGACAAUGGGCGAAAGCCUGAUCCAGCAAUGCCGCGUGAGUGAUGAAGGCCUUAGGGUUGUAAAGCUCUUUUACCCGGGAUGAUAAUGACAGUACCGGGAGAAUAAGCUCCGGCUAAGUCCGUG
rnacentral:rRNA from 1 species